CUUUUAGUACUAGUGGUUAGGCCACAGCGCGCUCAUCGCUGUGGCCCGCGUUCGAUUCCCGGCCAGGGGA
rnacentral:tRNA from 1 species